ACGGGUGAGUAACGCGUGGGAACGUGCCUUUCGGUUCGGAAUAAUUCAGGGAAACUUGGACUAAUACCGGAUACGCCCUUCGGGGGAAAGAUUUAUCGCCGAAAGAUCGGCCCGCGUCUGAUUAGCUAGUUGGUGAGGUAAAGGCUCACCAAGGCGACGAUCAGUAGCUGGUCUGAGAGGAUGAUCAGCCACAUUGGGACUGAGACACGGCCCAAACUCCUACGGGAGGCAGCAGUGGGGAAUAUUGGACAAUGGGCGCAAGCCUGAUCCAGCCAUGCCGCGUGAGUGAUGAAGGCCUUAGGGUUGUAAAGCUCUUUUGUCCGGGAAGAUAAUGACUGUACCGGAAGAAUAAGCCCCGGCUAACUUCGUGCCAGCAGCCGCGGUAAUACAAAGGGGGCUAGCGUUGCUCGGAAUCACUGGGCGUAAAGGGCGCGUAGGCGGACUUUUAAGUCGGAGGUGAAAGCCCAGGGCUCAACCCUGGAAUUGCCUUCGAUACUGGGAGUCUUGAGUUCGGAAGAGGUUGGUGGAACUGCGAGUGUAGAGGUGAAAUUCGUAGA
rnacentral:rRNA from 1 species